rnacentral:lncRNA from 1 species
UUACAGCGAAGACAUUCCCAAUGAAGAUGAGGAUGAUCUAGAAGAUGAUGCAGAACGGAAUAAUGAAAAUCGGUCCUCAUGAAUGUGAAUAAUAUUUUCUAUCAACCAAGAGGUUUAUUAGUGCAAAAAGAUUGAUGGCAAUAUCUUGCUAUACUAUGAGGCUUUACUUGUUUGUGAAGUUGGCAACUUGGUUUAAUGGCCCACACUUUUCCAAGUUUCAUCGGUAGAGGAGAGCACCUAUACAAGUUUCAUCAGUAGAGGAGAGCACCUAUACAAGUUUCUUUCUUUCUUUCUAUCUAAAAUAAUGUAUAAACAUCAAAUAUUAUAUCAAUAGCUAUUUUCACAGUCAUUCAUUAUAUGAGCUUGAAUUUGGAAUCUCAAAUUUUUUGGGGCUUUUCUAAUUGAAUUGAUGUUAUUAAUAUGGAUAAAUGACAAUAGCAUGGAGUUUGUAUCUUGCUUCUUGCAAAUUUAGUAA